CCUACGGGAGGCAGCAGUGGGGAAUAUUGGACAAUGGGCGAAAGCCUGAUCCAGCAAUGCCGCGUGAGUGAUGAAGGCCUUAGGGUUGUAAAGCUCUUUUACCAGGGAUGAUAAUGACAGUACCUGGAGAAUAAGCUCCGGCUAACUCCGUGCCAGCAGCCGCGGUAAUACGGAGGGAGCUAGCGUUGUUCGGAAUUACUGGGCGUAAAGAGUACGUAGGCGGUUAUUCAAGUCAGAGGUGAAAGCCCGGGGCUCAACCCCGGAACUGCCUUUGAAACUAGAUAGCUAGAAUCUUGGAGAGGUCAGUGGAAUUCCGAGUGUAGAGGUGAAAUUCGUAGAUAUUCGGAAGAACACCAGUGGCGAAGGCGACUGACUGGACAAGUAUUGACGCUGAGGUACGAAAGCGUGGGGAGCAAACAGGAUUAGAUACCCUGGUAGUCCACGCCGUAAACGAUGAUAACUAGUUGUUCGGGCACUUGGUGCCUGAGUGACGCAGCUAACGCAUUAAGUUAUCCGCCUGGGGAGUACGGUCGCAAGNUUAAACUCAAGGAAUUGACGGCUGAGACGNGCGAGCGACGACGAGGAGAG
rnacentral:rRNA from 1 species